rnacentral:rRNA from 1 species
CCCUAUGGGGUGCACCAGCACGACGGAGUGUGGUGGUUUUCGUGGACCCCGCAGUACUGCAAGCCGGUGCUGCCCUACGCACCCGUGCCUCGAGCCGAUGUUCGUCCCGCGCCCAUCCGCAGUCUGCUCGGCUACGGCAUGGUGGUGCCCGAGGGACAUCCCGCCAACGAUCAGGUGCACGUGAUGGUGGUGUCGGCGGCCGAACGCGUCGAACCCUAUUCCCUGAAGGAUGUCGAGAAGUCCAAGCGCAGCCAGGUGCGGAAGGGCCUGACCCGCGGCGAGGUCGGCCGCAUCGAGGAUCUGGAGCCCUGGAUCGCGGAUCUGAAGGACAUCAACAUUACGACCCAGGAACGCACGAAGUAGGGGAGACCCGCGUCCGACUACACCGAGAAGUUCGAAGAAUGGAGGCGAGGCAUUCUGGAUCUGUUCGCGGUGGAGGACAUGAAUUGGCGGGAGGGC